CCUACGGGAGGCAGCAGUGGGGAAUUUUGGACAAUGGGCGAAAGCCUGAUCCAGCAAUGCCGCGUGUGUGAAGAAGGCCUUCGGGUCGUAAAGCACUUUUGUCCGGAAAGAAAUCCUUGGCUCUAAUACAGUCGGGGGAUGACGGUACCGGAAGAAUAAGCACCGGCUAACUACGUGCCAGUAGCCGCGGUAAUACGUAGGGUGCGAGCGUUAAUCGGAAUUACUGGGCGUAAAGCGUGCGCAGGCGGUUUGCUAAGACCGAUGUGAAAUCCCCGGGCUCAACCUGGGAACUGCAUUGGUGACUGGCAGGCUAGAGUAUGGCAGAGGGGGGUAGAAUUCCACGUGUAGCAGUGAAAUGCGUAGAGAUGUGGAGGAAUACCGAUGGCGAAGGCAGCCCCCUGGGCCAAUACUGACGCUCAUGCACGAAAGCGUGGGGAGCAAACAGGAUUAAAUACCCUGGUAGUCCACGCCCUAAACGAUGUCAACUAGUUGUUGGGGAUUCAUUUCCUUAGUAACGUAGCUAACGCGUGAAGUUGACCGCCUGGGGAGUACGGUCGCAAGAUUAAAACUCAAAGGAAUUGACGGGGACCCGCACAAGCGGUGGAUGAUGUGGAUUAAUUCGAUGCAACGCGAAAAACCUUACCUACCCUUGACAUGGUCGGAAUCCCGCUGAGAGGUGGGAGUGCUCGAAAGAGAACCGGCGCACAGGUGCUGCAUGGCUGUCGUCAGCUCGUGUCGUGAGAUGUUGGGUUAAGUCCCGCAACGAGCGCAACCCUUGUCCUUAGUUGCUACGCAAGAGCACUCUAAGGAGACUGCCGGUGACAAACCGGAGGAAGGUGGGGAUGACGUCAAGUCCUCAUGGCCCUUAUGGGUAGGGCUUCACACGUCAUACAAUGGUCGGAACAGAGGGUUGCCAACCCCCGAGGGGGAGCUAAUCCCAGAAAACCGAUCGUAGUCCGGAUUGCACUCUGCAACUCGAGUGCAUGAAGCUGGAAUCGCUAGUAAUCGCGGAUCAGCAUGCCGCGG
rnacentral:rRNA from 1 species